AUAAUAAUUAAAGGAAAUUUAAUGAAAACCAACGUUUGUUUAAAGCCAAAAGACGAUCACCAUGGCUACUCUGAAUCCCCUCCGGCUCCAAGUCCCCACAUCAAGGCUCACCUGCAAGGUUAAGGAAAGGGGGUGAGUUUGGAAACUCAAUGUGCAACAAGCCCCUUUCAGAGCCCAAAACAAUGACAGCCUGUUGGGUCUAAGCCCAAAUCCAAUCUCAAACAUGUACUGGGCCAUAGCCCUUUUCAUAUUUCAUAUUUCAUAACACUGGGCCAAAGCCUUUUCAAAUUUCAUAUUACUGGGCUGUAAACGGUAUGACCCACAGGCCCAUUUCAAUAUUACAUAUAAUGUCAAUGAAAGAAUGCAAGCCCAAUUGGGGAGACUACUCAACCCACCAUCCGCUACUCUCCACCCGUACCAACCAACACACCAUGUGGGGAUUAACUCGACCCACCCCGCCAUAACUCUCCACUGGCAGCAUAGCUGCUUUAUCAUAUAACUGGAGGCCUAGCCUCUUUUAGUAACUGGGGCAAAAGCCCUUUUUAUAACUAGGGCAUAAGCCCUUCAUCACAACUGGGGCAUAAUCCCUUUAAUAACUGGGGCAUAAGCCCUUUAAUAACUGGGGCAUAAGCCCUUUUGCACUUCCUCUAUCCAUAUAAAAACCCAACCCAAUGCAUUUAUGAAUAUCUCAUGUGCAUAUCAUACAUAUCAUGUGCAUAUCAUACAUGUCAUGUGCAUAUCAUACAUAUCAUGUUUAUCAAAAUCCCAUGCAUUAAGUUCAUAUAUAAACCCUAGGGGUAUAAUGGUCAUUUUUACAUAGGGGCAAAACGGUCAUUUUCAUAUUAUAAGGGUAAUUCUGCAAUUUUAUCGAAAAUUAGGGAUUUUUCCAUGUUCAUCAUCAGUUACUAACUAUUCAUUUGUUUAACCGCGUUUCUAGCCCACUUUUAACGAAACCGAGUUAUUGAGCCUAAACCCCUAAUGGGCCCUACUUAGCCGAUUUUGUCAUCUAGGCCCAUUUAGCCUAUAUCCAUAAUAGUAUUAAUAGUCUUAACAAGCAAUUUAACAGAUUUCCAUUUUCUACCAAUUUUACCCAAAUGGGCUCGAAAGCCUAUUGGGCCCUAUUUCAGCCUCUCGAGGCCCAACUUACCGUGAACGCCAAAAACACAUCCUUACCGUUUCCAUUGUUCCCGAUCAUCAUCUCAUCGAUUCUAACUAACUAGUGAGCGUUCGCUUGCUCACAAGUCCUCGAAAUGCCAGAAUUUCGGUAUUUCAGCUUUUCGGCAUUUAUCACUUUAAGCUAUGAAAAAGGGUUCGUUACACACCUGAUUUGCGAUAUUCCUUGACGAGAUCUCCUAUGCGAUUUCUCUUAUAAUCAACCACUUAUAUAUUAGACCAUGUUAUUAUUAAACCAAAUCGAAAACUACCUAUUAUCAUCACUUACACAUUCGGCCACCAUCCACAAUGGCCCUUGGGUUCAUACCUUUACCUAAGUUGAUGACUAGAUUUAGUCACUUCGAUGAUCCAAGCUUUUCACACACUCCUCGAUCGGUAGCCUUUAAUCCUCACUAGCACCAACAAACCAAAUAACACCAAAAACCCUUUUAGCCUUAGUCGACAGAGGGGUUUUCAGCUUUUCUUAAACCACAAGAUACAAAUGGAAAGAAGGUUCGAAUACUUACCAAGAGAUCUACUCGUUGAAGAACGUUCUAAAUACCUUCCUACCCCAUAUCCGUUGUGAAUCCAACUUAAACUUGUGUAGAAAAUAGAUCUAAAUAUUAAUUCCCGAAUCACUAAAAUAUGAAGCUUUCGGCUUUUCAGCAAAUAUUAAUCUAAGCUAUUACGAGGGUUAGUACACACCUGUUACGGGUUGAAGUUGAAACGUUUCCAUAAUCAAUCACCUACGAUAACCACCACCUGUCACUCAAACUCAACUAUUCCAAUAUCAAUAUAUGUAAAUCCUAAGCACAUCAGUCAUACGGAACAUAAGGGCAUAUUCGUUAUUUUACCAUACAGGGGUAUUACGGUCACUUUACCCUACAGGGGCUUUACGGUCUUUUUACCUGAUAGGGGUAUUUUAGUCAUUUCAUCCUACAAGGGUGUUUUGGUAAAUCUACAAACCGAGGGUAUUUCAGUAAUUUUGUAAACCAAUGGUAUUUCUAUAAUUUUUAAAAAGUCAAGGGUAUUUCUGUAACUUUGUAAAUUAGGGGUAUUUUGGUAAUUUUAUAAAUUGAGGGUAUUUCGGUAAUUUCACAAACCAAGGGUAUUUUGGUAAUUUUACAAACUAGGGGUAUUUUGGUAAUUUUACAAACUAAUGGUAUUUUAGUAAUUUUGUAAAUCGAGGGUAAAACAGUAAUUCUAUAAAUCAAGGGUAAAAUAGUAAUUCUAUAAAUCGAGGGUAAAACGGUAAUUCUGUAAAUCAAGGGUAAAACGGUAAUUCUGUAAGUCGAGGGUAAAACGAUAAUUAUGUAAAUCAGGGGUAGAACGAUAAUUAUGUAAAUCGGGGGUAAAAUGGUAAUUUUGUAAAUUGGGGGUACUUUGGUAAUUUUACAAGUCGAAGGUAUUUCAGUAAUUUUACAAAUCGAGGGUAUUUCAGUAUUUUUACAAACUAAGGGUAUUUCGAUAAUUUUAGUAAACUAAAGUAUUCUAAACAUGGAUAACAAUACUAAUGGCUCUAAAGCCCAUUCUCGGCCCAAAUGGGCCCACACGCUCGUGUGGCCCUUUUAGCCCAAAUCUAGCCACAAAUAUUAGAUUCACCUAGCCUAGCCCAAUAUUUACUACACAAUCAAACAACUUAUCCAAUUGGGCCUGUAGGCCCAUUAGGCCCACAUGACCCCUUUCGACCCAUCGCGGCCCGAAGUAGCCAUCCUACAGCUAGAGUAGUAAGAAAUACACACCUGAUAGGAGACUGGAGUUAAUCCACACUCCGAGCACUCUUAGCCGACGCCCAACCCAAACGAGCACGCCAUACAGCGAAAGGGAUCAG
rnacentral:lncRNA from 1 species